rnacentral:rRNA from 1 species
GAGUUUGAUCAUGGCUCAGAGUGAACGCUGGCGGUAGGCCUAACACAUGCAAGUCGAACGGCAGCACAGGAGAGCUUGCUCUCUGGGUGGCGAGUGGCGGACGGGUGAGGAAUACAUCGGAAUCUACUCUGUCGUGGGGGAUAACGUAGGGAAACUUACGCUAAUACCGCAUACGACCUACGGGUGAAAGUGGGGGACCGCAAGGCCUCACGCGAUUGAAUGAGCCGAUGUCGGAUUAGCUAGUUGGCGGGUAAAGGCCCACCAAGGCGACGAUCCGUAGCUGGUCUGAGAGGAUGAUCAGCCACACUGGAACUGAGACACGGUCCAGACUCCUACGGGAGGCAGCAGUGGGGAAUAUUGGACAAUGGGCGCAAGCCUGAUCCAGCCAUACCGCGUGAGUGAAGAAGGCCCUCGGGUUGUAAAGCUCUUUUGUUGGGAAAGAAAUCCUGUUGAUUAAUACUCGGCAGGGAUGACGGUACCCAAAGAAUAAGCACCGGCUAACUUCGUGCCAGCC